AUUACACAAAGGAAUGUGCAACUUGCGCGCAAUAUACCUUUUAUUUUUGUUCGCGCUGCUGAGUUACACACCGGCAAAUAUUACGGCUCAUUAUGAAGAGAAUCCACAAUACAUAUUAGGCAGUUCCUUGGAAAAGAAUGCUAUCAGUGAACGAAGCAACCGGAGGGGCAGACGGAAUAAAGAUAUCGGCGAAAGAUGCACUUUGGACAGCGAAUGUCAAGGGGAUCUGUGUUGUGUGAAGCAACGUGGACCACCGAAAUGUCAAUUAAAGGCGGAAAUAGGUGAUCCCUUUGGUUUCAGGCCAAUCGGAAGAGGUUUUUACAUGGGCUAUUGCGGUUGUGCUAUUUGGGGUGCGCGCUGUGCGAGAGGAAGGUGCAGGUAAUCCGAAUUUCAUCGCCUGCCAGGCCGUCCCA
rnacentral:lncRNA from 1 species